rnacentral:tmRNA from 1 species
GCCCUUCAAAUGGCCGGCGCCUUCCCCUAUAUUCCCAUCGUGCCGGUCGCACCGGCUAUGGCGAUAAAUGGUCUGUGAAAUAAGCCUUUCGGACCCGGGGGCGGUACCCGGCGCCUCCACCAUGAACGGUGACACCAUCACCGCUGAUGCUGGGGGCGAAAUAGGCUCGACGAGGGUCUAAAGACAGCGCUUUCGCCCGGCAUGGUACCGCCGUUAUCGGACCGAACAAUAGUUGCCAACGACAACUAUGCUGAGGCUCGCCUCGCUGCGUAAUGCAGCCUGACGGCUUCGAAUAAAGCCCUGGGCCGUUAGCACGGUUCAGGCGGGGUCCGGAGGCGCCUGGCAACAGAAGCCUCCACU